UACGGGGGGGGCAAGCGUUGUUCGGAAUUACUGGGCGUAAAGGGCUCGUAGGCGGCCAACUAAGUCAUACGUGAAAUCCCUCAGCUUAACUGGGGAACUGCGUGUGAUACUGGAUGGCUUGGAUUUGGGAGAGGGAUGCGGAAUUCCAGGUGUAGCGGUGAAAUGCGUAGAUAUCUGGAGGAACACCGGUGGCGAAGGCGGCAUCCUGGACCAAUAUUGACGCUGAGGAGCGAAAGCCAGGGGAGCAAAGCGGGG
rnacentral:rRNA from 1 species